rnacentral:rRNA from 1 species
CAACCUGCCCACCACUUGGGGAUAACCUUGCGAAAGUAAGACUAAUACCCAAUGACGUCUCUANNNNACAUCUGAAGGAGAUUAAAGAUUUAUCGGUGAUGGAUGGGGAUGCGUCUGAUUAGCUUGUUGGCGGGGUAACGGCCCACCAAGGCGACGAUCAGUAGGGGUUCUGAGAGGAAGGUCCCCCACAUUGGAACUGAGACACGGUCCAAACUCCUACGGGAGGCAGCAGUGAGGAAUAUUGGUCAAUGGGCGAGAGCCUGAACCAGCCAAGUAGCGUGCAGGAUGACGGCCCUAUGGGUUGUAAACUGCUUUUAUAAGGGAAUAAAGUGAGUCUCGUGAGACUUUUUGCAUGUACCUUAUGAAUAGGGACCGGCUAAUUCCGUGCCAGCAGCCGCGGUAAUACGGAAGGUCCGGGCGUUAUCCGGAUUUAUUGGGUUUAAAGGGAGCGUAGGCCGGAGAUUAAGCGUGUUGUGAAAUGUAGACGCUCAACGUCUGCACUGCAGCGCGAACUGGUUCCCUUGAGUACGCACAAAGUGGGCGGAAUUCGUGGUGUAGCGGUGAAAUGCUUAGAUAUCACGAAGAACUCCGAUUG